rnacentral:rRNA from 1 species
AGUGGACGCUGGCGGUAGGCCUAACACAUGCAAGUCGAACGGCAGCACAGUAAGAGCUUGCUCUUACGGGUGGCGAGUGGCGGACGGGUGAGGAAUACAUCGGAAUCUACUUUUUCGUGGGGGAUAACGUAGGGAAACUUACGCUAAUACCGCAUACGACCUACGGGUGAAAGCAGGGGAUCUUCGGACCUUGCGCGAUUGAAUGAGCCGAUGUCGGAUUAGCUAGUUGGCGGGGUAAAGGCCCACCAAGGCGACGAUCCGUAGCUGGUCUGAGAGGAUGAUCAGCCACACUGGAACUGAGACACGGUCCAGACUCCUACGGGAGGCAGCAGUGGGGAAUAUUGGACAAUGGGCGCAAGCCUGAUCCAGCCAUACUGCGUGGGUGAAGAAGGCCUUCGGGUUGUAAAGCCCUUUUGUUGGGAAAGAAAAGCAGCAGGUUAAUACCCCGCUGUUCUGACGGUACCCAAAGAAUAAGCACCGGCUAACUUCGUG